rnacentral:rRNA from 1 species
UACGAAGGGGGCUAGCGUUGUUCGGAAUUACUGGGCGUAAAGCGCACGUAGGCGGACUAUUAAGUCAGGGGUGAAAAUCCCGGGGCUCAACCCCGGAACUGCCUUUGAUACUGGUAGUCUCGAGUCCGGAAGAGGUGAGUGGAAUUCCGAGUGUAGAGGUGAAAUUCGUAGAUAUUCGGAGGAACACCAGUGGCGAAGGCGGCUCACUGGUCCGGUACUGACGCUGAGGUGCGAAAGCGUGGGGAGCAAACAGGG